CCCAGCGGAGGGAUCAUUGCUGGAACGCGCUUCGGCGCACCCAGAAACCCUUUGUGAACUUAUACCUAUUGUUGCCUCGGCGUAGGCCGGCCUCUUCACUGAGGCCCCCUGGAAACAGGGAGCAGCCCGCCGGCGGCCAACCAAACUCUUGUUUCUACAGUGAAUCUCUGAGUAAAAAACAUAAAUGAAUCAAAACUUUCAACAACGGAUCUCUUGGUUCUGGCAUCGAUGAAGAACGCAGCGAAAUGCGAUAAGUAAUGUGAAUUGCAGAAUUCAGUGAAUCAUCGAAUCUUUGAACGCACAUUGCGCCCUCUGGUAUUCCGGAGGGCAUGCCUGUUCGAGCGUCAUUUCAACCCUCAAGCCUGGCUUUGGUGAUGGGGCACUGCCUGUAAAAGGGCAGGCCCUGAAAUCUAGUGGCGAGCUCGCCAGGACUCGCCAGGACCCCAGCGUAGUAGUUAUAUCUCGCUCUGGAAGCCCUGGCGGGUGCCCUGCCGUUAAACCCCAACUUCUGAAAUUGACCUCGGAUAGGUAGGAUUACCGCUGACUA
rnacentral:rRNA from 1 species